AAUGGAACCCUAUUCCCUAUAGUACNNNNNNNNNNNNNNNNNNNNNNNNNNNNNNNNNNNNNNNNNNNNNNNNNNCCUAUCCCUCCAGACCUCCAGACCUCCUAUCCCUCCAGACCUCCAGACCUCCUAUCCCUCCAGACAUCCUAUCCCUCCAGACUUCCUAUCCCUCCAGACCCCCUAUCCCUCCAGACCCCCUAUCCCUCUAGACCUCCAGACCCCCUAUCCCUCCAGACCUCCUAUCCCUCUAGACCUCCAGACCCCCUAUCCCUCCAGACCCCCUAUCCCUCCAGACCUCCUAUCCCUCCAGACCCCCUAUCCCUCCAGACAUCCUAUCCCUCCAGACUCCCUAUCCCUCCAGAACCCCUAUCCCUCCAGACCUCCUAUCCCUCCAGACCCCCUAUCCCUCCAGACCCCCUAUCCCUCCAGACCCCUUAUCCCUCCAGAUCUCCUAUCCCUCCAGACCCCCUAUCCCUCCAGACUCCCUAUCCCUCCAGACCUCCUAUCCCUCCAGACCUCCUAUCCCUCCAGACCCCCUAUCCCUCCAGACCCUCUAUCCCUCCAGACCUCCUAUCCCUCCAGGCCCCCUAUCCCUCCAGACCUCCUAUCCCUCCAGACCUCCUAUCCCUCCAGACCCCUAUCCCUCUAGACCUCCAGACCCCCUAUCCCUCCAGGCCCCCUAUCCCUCCAGACCUCCUAUCCCUCCAGACCUCCUAUCCCUCCAGACCUCCUAUCCCUCCAGACCUCCAGACCUCCUAUCCCUCCAGACAUCCUAUCCCUCCAGACUUCCUAUCCCUCCAGACCUCCAGACCUCCUAUCCCUCCAGACAUCCUAUCCCUCCAGACUUCCUAUCCCUCCAGACCUCCAGACCUCCUAUCCCUCCAGACCCCUAUCCCUCCAGACCUCCUAUCCCUCCAGACAUCCUAUCCCUCCAGACUUCCUAUCUUUCCAGACCCCCUAUCCCUCCAGACCCCUUAUCCCUCUAGACCUCCAGACCCCCUAUCCCUCCAGACCUCCUAUCCCUCUAGACCUCCAGACCCCCUAUCCCUCCAGACCCCCUAUCCCUCCAGACCCCCUAUCCCUCCAGACCUCCUAUCCCUCCAGACCUCCUAUCCCUCCAUGCCUCCUAUCCCUCCAGACCUCCUAUCCCUCCAAACCUCCUAUCCUUCCAGACCUCCUAACAACGUAAAGCCUGUAGAUGAAUGUCUGUAG
rnacentral:lncRNA from 8 species